rnacentral:rRNA from 1 species
UGGGGAAUUUUGGACAAUGGGCGCAAGCCUGAUCCAGCCAUGCCGCGUGAGUGAAGAAGGCCUUCGGGUUGUAAAGCUCUUUCGCAAGGAAAGAAAACUUAUCCACUAAUACUGGAUGAGGAUGACGGUACCUUGAUAAGAAGCACCGGCUAACUACGUGCCAGCAGCCGCGGUAAUACGUAGGGUGCAAGCGUUAAUCGGAAUUACUGGGCGUAAAGCGAGCGCAGGCGGUUUUGUAAGUCAGAUGUGAAAGCCCCGGGCUCAACCUGGGAACUGCGUUUGAAACUACAAGGCUAGAGUAUGGGAGAGGGAGGUAGAAUUCCACGUGUAGCAGUGAAAUGCGUAGAGAUGUGGAGGAAUACCAAUGGCGAAGGCAGCCUCCUGGCCUAAUACUGACGCUCAUGCUCGAAAGCGUGGGGAGCAAACA